rnacentral:rRNA from 1 species
AACGAACGCUGGCGGCAUGCCUAACACAUGCAAGUCGAACGAGACCUUCGGGUCUAGUGGCGCACGGGUGCGUAACGCGUGGGAACCUGCCCUUAGGUUCGGAAUAACUCCCCGAAAGGGGUGCUAAUACCGGAUAAUGUCUUCGGACCAAAGAUUUAUCGCCUUUGGAUGGGCCCGCGUUGGAUUAGCUAGUUGGUAGGGUAAAAGCCUACCAAGGCGACGAUCCAUAGCUGGUCUGAGAGGAUGAUCAGCCACACUGGGACUGAGACACGGCCCAGACUCCUACGGGAGGCAGCAGUGGGUAAUAUUGGAAAAUGGGCGAAAGGCUGAUCCAGCAAUGCCGGGUGAGUGAUGAAGGCCUGAGGGUUGUAAAGCUCUUUUACCCGGGAUGAUAAUGACAGUACCGGGAGAAUAAGCUCCGGCUAACUCCGUG